rnacentral:sRNA from 1 species
AUUAUUAUAUUUUUUUUUUGAGAGACUAUGUGUAUAUAUGUGUGUUUAUUAUUGGACAUAAACUAAAUCAUAGUAAAA